UAGGGAAUCUUCGGCAAUGGACGAAAGUCUGACCGAGCAACGCCGCGUGAGUGAAGAAGGUUUUCGGAUCGUAAAACUCUGUUGUUAGAGAAGAACAAGGACGUUAGUAACUGAACGUCCCCUGACGGUAUCUAACCAGAAAGCCACGGCUAACUACGUGCCAGCAGCCGCGGUAAUACGUAGGUGGCAAGCGUUGUCCGGAAUUAUUGGGCGUAAAGCGAGCGCAGGCGGUUUCUUAAGUCAGAUGUGAAAGCCCCCGGCUCAACCGGUGAGGGUCAUUAGAAACUAUGCAACGUGAGUGCAGGAGAGGAUGGUGGAAUUCCGGUUGUAGCGAUGAAAUGCAUAGAUAUAUGGAGGAACACCAGUGGCGAAGGCGGCUCUCUAGUCUAUAACUGACGAUGAGGCUCGAAAGCGUGGGGAGCAAACAGG
rnacentral:rRNA from 1 species